rnacentral:lncRNA from 1 species
GCAGCUGCCGGACACCAGGAGACGAUGGAAGGUCUAUAGUGUUACAGCUCUGACCCAGGAAGUCCCAGGGUCUUGCCUUCCAGAAGGGUCGCGGCUCUUCCCUCCCUCAGUCCAACGAACAGGAGCACGUCACCUCCCGCAGCUCGGGGAGCUGGCCAGGAACGUGUUACAGCCCGUUUCGCUCCUGUCCGCAGCUGGGUGAGGCAGCCAGGAAAAUAUUACAGCUCUUCUCACGCCCGCCAUUCAGCAGGUCCUGACUUCUUGUGUGACAUCCAGAAGAAAGGGGUUACACAGACAGCUGGAGGGUGAGCAAAGUGGAGAAGUUCUCAGCAGAGAGGAGACUGGAGUGAGUUGCCCCUACCCGCAGGUGCCAACUGUAAUACAUCAGUAGCUGAACAGCUCAUUGCCCUCAAGUGUUCUUGCUCAUGCCUGGCUGAGUUAUUGAAGAAAUUGCUCAGAUCUCAAGCCCUUGUAGAUCACUGGUCCUGGCAGAUGUUAUGAGGAAAGCAUCUCAGAGGUAGUGGUCAACUUAAGAAGGGGUCUUUUAUUCUAACGCAGAUACGUGAACAGAAAAGCCUGAACUAGGGAACUGACCAUGAAACUAAAAAGGAGAAAGCAUAUGCAAGUGGACACAAUAAUGAAGAAUUCUACAAGAAAGUAGAAACAUGACAGAAAGAAGAGUACAGGAGAACGGGUGAAACUUGAAAACUGAUAGAAAUGAUAGAACAGGAUCUAUACUUCUGCAGGUCACUGAAGUGAAGAGUUUGAUGUUCUUCCUAGAUCUUCAUAGACGUAGAAUUGCCUGUGUAAUCUCCUUACCUCACUAGUCUGCCCUGUCUUCCUUCUUGCUAGAUGAGAAAUAAAGAAAACAAGAAAAGCAAGGGAAAGGAGAGAAAAAAGGAGGGAUACAGCAAGAGGGAGAAAGAAAAGGACGAGAAAAUAAAUUACUAAAGGGAGAAAAGAAAAAGAAAAAAGAAAAAGCAGAGAAGAAGUUAAUCCCCUGGUGAAUUUUUCACAGGCUAUCUGGAACUCAAAAGUUCAAUCUUUAUCCAUCUAUCACUAAGUCAACUUCUGGAACCUCUUCUUCUAGAACCAGUUAGGGAAGCCACUGAAGGAGGGUUAUAGGACAAAAUAUAUGUUGGUGUGAACUUUAAAAAAAGAAUUUGUGUUUAAGGAUGAAACUGUAAUGGUUUUGAAAUUGCACUAACCACAUUUGAUUUGAGCUGAAUCAAAAGUAGAAAAAUCAGCAAAUUCUACAUAAAAAACUAAGGAAGAGGAAGAAGAUCCAACUUAGAAAAUCCAGUGGAAUAAUAAUUCCAUUAGUAAGAUAACGAUACAGAGAGAUGAUGACACUGGAGUUUUCAGAGAGCAUUGAGGCAAUAUGUAGCUAUGGAAUUUGAAAAAAAAAAUGGUUCAUUUUUGGAAGAUUACUACAACAGUCAUGUUAGAUUAAUUGAAAUGAAGGUUGGUGUUAUAAGGCUUUAAAAAUAGUCCAACUGGAAAUACGAAAGCUUGAAAAGCAGCUUUGAAAAACAAAGACAGAGGGGAAAGGGAUGAAGAGAAAUACAACUGAGAUUUAAGAUAUAAAAUAACUGAAAUCUGGAACUAAUCAACUGUGAAAAUCAAGCAACGAGAAAGAGUUGUAAAUUAUUUUAAAAUAUCUGGCUCGAUCAACUUUGCCAGUUUUAGAGCCAGUCUUUGCAAAAAGGGAGAAACAAAACAGAUGAGACAAGAAAGGAACAUCCAGCAUGCUGUGAACCCCCUGAGACUGGCCAUGAUCUGAAAGAGUAAAGCUCUAUCCAGGGAACCUUUUCUGAAUCAUAGUGUCAGACUUCCUGCUCUUUUCAACUCCCCUGGUUUUAUCAUCUCUACUCUGUUUCAGCAAUCUACUGCCAUGGCCACAUCCUGAAUGUUGACAAUACCCUAAACUGUGCCAUUUAUAAGAUCUCUGACACACCAACCUCUCUCCUCUUACAGCUCUCAAUGAUGUAUAUGACCUCAGCUUAUUCUAAUAUGCUUACAGAUUAUACACCCGUGAUAUUGAUGGCAGUGGCUGCUGCUGUCGUGGCUGCUGCUAUCACGCCUGCUGCAACACAGAGGUGCGACUGGGGCUGCACAUUUCACGGAGGUGUUGGGAGUUCCGCCCCUUCUGAUGUGGGGAAAGAGAUCCCCAGGUGCCCCUGCAUCUGCCCAAACUGUGGCUGUGGAUCGGAGGCUCCAGGUUGGCAGGUUGGGAGCUUCCGGGUGCAGCUGCGACCGCCCUCCCAGGUGCAGGACCCUGGUGUUUCUGCAGCCUGCACCCUUGGGGGCCCCAGGAAAGACCCAUAUCCUUGCAGGCUUGGAGGUGUUUGCUUCUUCUGCCUGGCCUCUCUCGGCUCCCGGUGCAUGCUCUCAUAUCUGAGUGGGGGUUGGUGCUGAGCCCCGGGGCCGUGAAUUGCAGCAGGAGGCAGAUUUAUUCCUGGGCAGAAGGUGGCAGAUCCCAAGUAAGGGGACCUUCAAGCCAGGGAGGGCCUGAAGGCUGGUGGCUGGGCUACCAGUCCCACCGACCAGAGUGGGGAUUCGUGGGCCUCUUCUGGGCCACCCAUAGCCACCCAUGGACCAAUCAGCAAGCACAUCCUCCCCUCUGAGGUCCGUAAAAGCCCUGGGCGCAGCCUGAGCAGGGCAGAGGAAGGCCAGAGGUGAAGGAGUCAGAGAGGCGACAGGAUAGGCAGCUGCCGAGAGAAGUACGCCUCUCUGCUGAGACCUGGAGAUGACGGGAAGGCCAGAUGCAGAGAGGAGCUACCCUCUCUGCUUAGAGCUGCCAGGAGGAGCUACCAACCUUCUCUGCUGAGAGCUGCAGAGAUGACCUGCUGGCAGAGAGGAGCUACCCACUGCGGGUCUCCUCUGAUCUGUUGUAAUGCUGAAUAAAGCUUCUUUUCAUCUUGUUCACCUUCCACUUGUCUGCAUACCUCAUUCUACCCGGACGCAAGCAAGAACUCGAGCAAAGGCACAACCAGCCACAGAGGUUUCUGGCCAGAAAAUCGACACCCCAAAAGUCCUAUAACAAUCUGAUUCUAAAAGCAACAUCAUCUUUUCAAUGUAAUUCUAAAAGAAUUUGGGAUUAUUUUAUUUAAUUUCAGGAUCCCCUCUGAAGAAAAUCAACUUACAAAGGAUGGCAGGUCUUAAGAAAGGUACUUAGCAAGUGCUGGUACAUUCUAAGCAAUCAAUAUUUGUCAAUGUUCAGUAAUUGUACAAUUGUACUAGAGAAAACAAUUCCAGGGGCUUAAAAUUAUCUUAUACAAGGAUCCACUUUAUUAUUAUUUUUUCUGUUUGUUUUGGAUAAAUUACUGACUCCUUAUCUCAGUUAUGUUAUGUGUUAAAUGUUUACAGUGUUAUUUUGUAUCUCUCAAGGGCUUUUGUUAGAAUUUUCAAUGAGAUACCUUAAAACCUCUAAAAAGAAAAUGGAUGUUAUAAGUAAAUAAAAAUAAGUCUGAAUGGC